UUGUACAAGGCCGGUGGAGCAUGUGGUUUAAUUCGAUGCAACGCGAAGAACCUUACCUACCCUUGACAUACAGUGAACCUUUCAGAGAUGAGAGGGUGCCUUCGGGAACACUGAUACAGGUGCUGCAUGGCUGUCGUCAGCUCGUGUCGUGAGAUGUUGGGUUAAGUCCCGUAACGAGCGCAACCCCUAUUCUUAGUUGCCAGCGCGUAAAGGCGGGAACUCUAAGGAGACUGCCGGUGACAAACCGGAGGAAGGCGGGGACGACGUCAAGUCAUCAUGGCCCUUACGGGUAGGGCUACACACGUGCUACAAUGGGGGAUACAGCUGGAAGCGAAGGGGUGACCUGAAGCCAAUCUUAGAAAGUCUCUCGUAGUCCGGAUUGGAGUCUGCAACUCGACUCCAUGAAGUCGAAUCGCUAGAUCCGUUUGUCUU
rnacentral:rRNA from 1 species